CCCCCAACAGCUAGCCCGACCUUAUUACAAUAACUUAUCCACAUCAAUAGCACAGAAUAAUAAAUAGAAAUUAAACAAAACAUUUAACCACACAAGUAUGGGCGAUAGAAAAAGAAAACUGGAGCAAUAGAAAAAGUACCGCAAGGGAACGCUGAAAAAGAAGUGAAAUAAAUCAGUAAAGAAAAGUAAAGCAGAGACACAUCCUUGUACCUUUUGCAUCAUGAUUUAGCAAGUCCUGCUCGAGCAAAAAGAAUUGUAGUUUGAGAACCCGAAACCAAGUGAGCUACUCCAAGACAGCCUAUUCUAUAGGGCUAACCCGUCUCUGUGGCAAAAGAUGUGGGAAGAGCUUUGAGUAGAGGUGAUAGACCUACCGAACUUGGUGAUAGCUGGUUGCCUGUGAAAUGAAUAGAAGUUCAGCCAUUAAAAUUCUCUAAUCAAACUUGAGAAGCCGAGAUAUGAGAAGCUUAGUGAGUUAUUCAUAGGGGGUACAGCCCCUUUGAAGAAGGAUACAACCUUAGAUAGGAGGUUAAAGAUUAAAAUAAAGAAGUACAGUACACUAGUGGGCUUAAAAGCAGCCAUCUAAAAGAAAAGCGUUAAAGCUUGAGUACAAGGCAAACCAUAAAUCAAAAUAAAUUUAUCUUAAUCCCCUUAUCCUACCAGGCCGACCUAUGCCAACAUAGAAGCGCUGAUGCUAGAAUGAGUAAUAAGAGAAGAGAAUCUCUCCUAAUACAAGUGUAACUCAGAACGAACUACUCACUGAGGACUAACGGACCCAUCAAGAGGGUACUGACCCACAAAUAAAUAACUGGAAAAAACACCUGCCCCCCCCCCGUUGACCUUACACAAGAGUAUUUUUAAAGGAAAGACUAAAAGGAGUGUGAAGGAACUCGGCAAACCUUAAGCCUCGCCUGUUUACCAAAAACAUCGCCUCCCGACCCGUCAAACAUGGGAGGUCCCGCCUGCCCUGUGAUUUUAAUUUAACGGCCGCGGUAUUUUGACCGUGCAAAGGUAGCGCAAUCACUUGUCUCUUAAAUGGAGACCUGUAUGAAUGGCAUAACGAGGGCUUAACUGUCUCCCCCUCCCAGUCAAUGAAAUUGAUCCCCCCGUGCAGAAGCGGGGAUGCUAACAUAAGACGAGAAGACCCUGUGGAGCUUUAGGCAGAGAAUAGUACCUGUAAAGAUUAGCCUACCAGCAUUAAACAGAAGGUACCCCUGUUCACAUGCCUUUGGUUGGGGCGACCGCGGGGAACACAAAACCCCCACGUGGAAGGAGAACUUCCUCUUUAAACUAAGAGCUGCAGCUCUAAAGAACAGAACUUCUGACCAGAAUGACCCGGCGAUUCUUCCGCCGAUCAACGAAACUAGUUACCCCAGGGAUAACAGCGCAAUCCCUUCCCAGAGCCCAUAUCGACGAAGGGGUUUACGACCUCGAUGUUGGAUCAGGACAUCCUAAUGGUGCAGUCGCUAUUAAGGGUUCGUUUGUUCAACGAUUAAAGUCCUACGUGAUCUGAGUUCAGACCGGAGUAAUCCAGGUCAGUUUCUAUCUAUGAAAUGAUUUUUUCCAGUACGAAAGGACCGAAAAAAUGGGGCCUAUGCUCAAGGUACGCCCCACCACCUACCUAAUGAAGACAACUCAAUUAGGCAAAGGGGCAUAAUCUCCCUGCCACAGACUAUGGCAU
rnacentral:rRNA from 1 species